rnacentral:rRNA from 1 species
UCUUGACCUCGGAUCAGGUAGGGAUACCCGCUGAACUUAAGCAUAUCAAGAGCCCGGAGGAA